AGACAGUGGUUAUUUUAUUUAAUCAUUAUUCAUUACAACCUUGUUCAUGAAUAGUAUGCCUGCAUAGACUAGCAAGUUUUUUUAUUUCAGUUUGAUACUCAAUGUUUUUGACUUGAAACUGACAUUUCUGUAAUACUGAUGAAGACAAGCGAUUUGAAUCCCUUAACUGUGCACAUUUUAAUUGAAUCUUUAUUCGCAUUUCAAGAUUCUGGAGGUUCUAUAUCUUUAAAUGGCAAUUGAUUUUGUGGCUGAACAGUUGUGUGGGUUAACUUGAUUUGUGGUACCAAAUGUUGCCUAGUAUACUACAGUAGUGUUAUAGUGUGAAUUGCUCGCGUCCCCUGUGGCAUUUUUUAUAUCAAGUGGUGAAGUAUGCUAGUUAGCACACUGAACUUUAAUAACAGGUAUUGUUGCAUUAACAACGAACUCAGUACAAGUACAUUUCUGGUAUUUCUCUACCAACUCCAAUCCAGUGAUGUAUGCUACAACAUUGUUGUGCCAAAUUGAUUUAUUGUUUAAUUCGUAUCACUAGCGCUUGCAAGGUUCCAGUAGAAAUUCUUCGUAUAGUAGCAAUAUUAGUAGAAUAUACUAAACUUCUAUUCUUUUUUCCAGGCACACAAACGGUAAAUCAAGUCUGCUUUCUCUGAAACAGAAGUACCAAAUCUGUAAUGGGUGCUUCCUUCUCUAUCUGGUGCAAGGGUGCUUGCUGAUAAAAUUGGUACAAGGGGUUUGUUUGAUGACAAAGGUUGGCUGGAAACACUCUGCAGCCAUCGGGAUAGUGCCAAUGGUUGACCUGGAUUCACAACAGUAAAAAGCUGCGAAGGGUUGUCAGUGUGGAUUCAGGGGCAGACGUGCACGUCAGAAAAAAGUUCUUCGAUGUUUGUGUGUGUAGAUUAUAGAUGCAUGGGCAGGAUUCUAUCUGUCCCAGAAAGAACAAAAUGCAUGCUUCCAUUGCCCUACAGUUGAUAGGAUAUAAUGGAUGUGCCGUGUAUCUUGUCUCGGUCAUCCAGCGGGUUUAUUAGAUUUGAUGGUGUUCCAGAAUUCCUUAAGAUACGUAUAUGGCGCAACAGCAUGUUUGGUUCAAGGGGUAGGUUUGUGACAUGGAUGUGCAUGUGCAAUUAGAUUUUGACUCUAAGGGCUGUUUCUUUUUUUACCAUGAUCCUUUGUGAAUCCUGCAAACCAAAAGGAGUCCAACAAUUUCACCUAGCUUUGAUGGCUGAUGGUGUGUUUUUUUCCCUUCCCUUUUUGGCUUGAGUAAAGUUUAUGAAUGCACCAUCUUAUUCUGGCUCCAAACCUCCCUUUCAGAGGAACAGGACGCCAGAAUAGGUAGUGUUCCAUGAAAGAUUAGUUGAGAGGAACCACUCAUUUCUCUCUGUUCUAAGCACAAAUUUCCUAUUGGACGCUAGGCUGCUAUGCUGUAAGCAUGGCUUUGGUUUCCAAAGGCAAAUUAACAGAAAGCAAGUGCGCGCCUUCUCUUGGAUUCUGAUUCGGGAGUCAUUUCGAUCCAAAAGGUAUUGAUGUGCCCGUUACGUUGCCUCUCCUGGACUGGAGUGGCGAGAUGUUCUCCGGCUACACGUACCAGCAGAAGCUCUCAGACCCCAGCCAGAGAUGAUGCUGCGUGCAUGUCGACGAUCAUAGCAAACAAGUACACAGGUAGUCUCCUGGCGACAGUGCCUGCCGCUGCCUGUGGGCGUCUCUGCCGCAUGCAUUGCAAACUCGAAGGUGGUGAUCAAUCAAGGGUACGGUGUGCUCCUGAUAUCACUUACGACAUUGCGCGUGCAUCGGUAUUCGGGCUCCAUCAGACGGAUGGUAGCCACUUUACUCAUCAGACGGGUGAUGCUUGGAGGCGAUUGAUUGUGUCUUGUGCACACGCCGAGUUGUUGAAAGGUUUUCCAGCAUCCUAUAUAUUCUCUCCCCAUUCACGGAUGAUAGUCUUAUUUCAAAAUUUGAGAUUUUCACAAUCGAUAGUCUUAUUUGAGCCCA